rnacentral:rRNA from 1 species
UACGUAGGGGGCAAGCGUUGUCCGGAAUCAUUGGGCGUAAAGCGCGUGUAGGCGGCUGGGUAAGUCCGCUCUGAAAGCCCGGGGCUCAACCCCGGGAGGCGGGUGGAUACUGCUCAGCUCGAGUCCGGAAGAGGAGUGUGGAAUUCCUGGUGUAGCGGUGAAAUGCGCAGAUAUCAGGAGGAACACCAGUGGCGAAGGCG